UACCUGGUUGAUCCUGCCAGUAKUCAUAUGCUUGUCUCAAAAAAUUAAACCCAUGCAUGUGUAAUUAUAAACUAAUUCAAACUGUGAAA
rnacentral:rRNA from 1 species